ACAUUCUAGAUUAUUGUAAAUAUUCUAGCAUAAUAUAUAGGUCAUUAAAACACGUUUUUAGCCUUAUUAAUAGAGGGUAAAAUGCGAUAAAGGUAAAGGAACUGCGCACGCUGAGGAACCAGAAUAUUAGUAAACAAACAAAUUUACCUGUAGAGAAGCUGUUACCUUUGACAGUUAUAAAUAAUACUCAACUACAGUACCACGUUACCUGUGUAUGGGAAACAGCAGAUGCAGAGGAAGGUGAGGUCUGGGAAGUAGACCGAGUGGAUCGACCAACAAAGAUGCAUUAGAGAAACUGUCAAAAGUUCACCCACUUCCUUCACUCAUCCUGCAGUGGCCCAAGAUAAACUCAUCUCUUAUCAAGAAGUGAAGAACAAGGGACAGACUGAUGACAGAAGCUACAUCACCACCACCACCAGAUGACUGAGGCUACAUCACAACCAACAUCAGUUGAAUGAGGCUACACCACCACCGACACCAGAUGACAGAAGGCUACAUCACCACCAACACCAGAUGACAGAAGGCUACAUCACCACCGACACCAGAUGACA